AAAUACGGAGGCAGCAGUAGGGAAUCUUCGGCAAUGGGGGGAACCCUGACCGAGCAACGCCGCGUGAGUGAAGAAGGUUUUCGGAUCGUAAAGCUCUGUUGUAAGAGAAGAACGGGUGUGAGAGUGGAAAGUUCACACUGUGACGGUAUCUUACCAGAAAGGGACGGCUAACUACGUGCCAGCAGCCGCGGUAAUUUU
rnacentral:rRNA from 1 species